rnacentral:rRNA from 1 species
CCUACGGGAGGCAGCAGUGAGGAAUCUUUGUCAAUGGUCGGGAGACUGAACCAGCCAAGCCGCGUGAGGGAUGAAGGUACAGCGUAUCGUAAACCUCUGUUGUCAGGGAACAAAGGCGGGAACUUGUCCCCGGAUGAGUGUACCUGAAGAAAAAGCAUCGGCUAACUCCGUUCCAACAGCCGCGGUAAUACUGAGGCUGCAAGCGUUGUCCGGAUUUAUGGGGUUAAAGGGGUGCGCAGGUGGUCUGUUAAGUCCGCGGUAAAAGCCCGGGGCUCAACCCCGGCGGGCCGUUGAAACUGGCAGUCUCGAGUUGGAGAGAAGUAUGCGGAAUGCGCGGUGUAGCGGUGAAAUGCAUAGAUAUCGCGCAGAACUCUGAUUGCGAAGGCAGCAUGCCGG